UUUCUUUUUUUGUUCUUUCCUUUUACAUGUGAUCUUAAGAGGGUCCUGAUGAGUAAACACGAAGCUCAAGUCUCAGGAAAAUCCUGUCACCCAUUCUCAGGACCUUUGGGCUGUAUAAUCUUCAUCGUGAGCCACUUUUCUGUUUUCAGUGCACGAAUAAUGCUUUUUGAAAUUUGAGUUCUCACCAUGAACUCAAUAUGCUGCUACCAGUACAACAUUCAACAUUUCAUUCAUGUUCUAAGUUAACUGAAAGGCAGUCAUCUAAAACAAACAUCACUUUCAAAGUAUAAGUUCGUUUGCAAUACAUCAAAAUAAAUAUGCUUAUGUGAAAUUCUGCAUUUGGUACAUAAACAAGAAGAAGAAAAUUCCAAGUACAUUAUUCUGAAAUAUGAGACACUGGCAUUAUUAAUUCUAUGCCAUACUGUGACCAAUUAUAAUACUUCAGCAUGAACAAUAAAGGACGUAAUAUACACUUUCAAGUAUGAGUAAAAAUGAGCACCUUUUGAUUUAAACAAACCUUAGCACAAUGUGUUUAAUUUAAUUGGUAUGUUUUAAACAGAAUGUUGCAAAUGUUCAGAAUACCAUGUGGUUAGUUCAUUACCACAGGUCUGUGGUUCUUAAUUAUCCAUAUGAAGGCCAAAUGAAUCAGUAGGCAAAUGGGGGCAAUUAUCACAUUUACAGAAGAACAUGGCUCUCUGGAUGGAGGUUUUUGCAAGCCUCAUUUGCUGUUACAAAGUCGGCAGUAGAGCAUUUCAAUACAAAUGAGAAUUGAAUGGUGCAAUAUCAGCCAAAUGCCAUCAGCUUGGGGGGUGGAUGGAGACAAUAUGGUGCAGAGUCAUGUAAUCUCUGUGAAGUUUCCUUUGACAGAUUUCUAUUUAUAUAAAGCACAGAAUUGGACAUAAAAAUAAAAUAAUUUUAUCUCAGAAAGCUUUCUACAGGGAACAGAAACUCUUGGUGCCAUACAUCCCAUGUAGAUUCAUCAUGUCAUUGGAAUACAGGGCAGGAAGGAAGGAGGGCUGAGGAGUGGUGCCAGCUGUAAAUUGCUCUCUUUCUUGCCUGGCUAUGGGUAAUAUAUAGAUACUAGGAAGAUUGCUCUGUCGGAGCAGCUAUAAAACUGUGGUCCACAUGUCCCAAAUACCCAGCAGAAUAAACUAUCUGCAAAUUGGAAAAUGUGCACAUGGUAAGAAAUAAAAGAGCAACAUAUAGCCUUUUCUAGUUAUAAUUAUGUUUUUCUAUUAAUCAAGAGUAGUGAUUUUUUGAGCAGCAGUCUUUCAGGAGCAGUUACAGAGAUUAGAAAUAUAAUUGACUCACUGACGCCCUAGAUGCCCACAAACAUUUUAUGAGCCAGUAUAUUAAGCACCUAAUUAUAGGCAAUGAUAAUUUUUUUCUGAUAUAUGUUUUGGCAGUGUUUAGGAUUAUGAAAGCAAAUAAAAAGUCCACAAAUAGCUACAUGAUUCAUAUUUCAAUUGGAUGCUUCUUUUCAUAAUAAAUAGAUAUUUUUUA
rnacentral:sRNA from 1 species